CUCCCACCCCCACCCCAGCAGUUAGGCCAGGCAGGCCUCCUCGACUAACUGAUCCACGCUGAGGUGCCAUCCAAACCUCCUGCGUGAAUUCUCCCGACCUCAGGGUGGUGAGGUACUCAUGAGCGACCAACCCGUUUCCUCAGUCCUAAGACCUUCAUUCAUCCUUGGCGAGCCUUCUGACGUCUCACUUUAUGAAUGUUUGGGAUAUGCUCUGUGGAGGAUGAUACCACAACAGGCUCACGGUCUGAAGAGCAGCUCGGCCCUCCUGUAAUGAGGAGUGCUGAGGUCAAUUGUGGGGAGGGCUCUCAAGUGCUCCAACAGUCAUCAGGAGCUUUUAUCUGAAUCACAAAGAUACUCCUCUUCUCCACAUCAGGAGAGUUCUUCUCUCCCGCAUCAGAAUGUAAGGUCCCUCUGUCUUAACCUUCAUGUUCGAUUGUAAGUCUUGUUUUCUCUAUACGAAGGCUAAACAGUCCUUUUCCACCAACCCGAGAGUUAGUAAGUUUCAGCUUAACCACAGAGUAUGAGAAAGCCUAUUUAUUGUAAGUGGGCGCCAGGUUGUACCUGAUAAGCAACUGGGAAAUAGAGCAGAAAGGGGGCCCAGAAAAAUGGGUGGGCAAGGGAAGGUACCUACCGCCAAGCCUGAUGAUCACAGGUCAAUCCCAGAACCCACACGAUGGUGGGAGAGAACCAACCCCCACACGUUGUCUUCUGACCUCCACUUGGGCAACAUGGCAUGCAAGGUCACACACAAACACACAAAAUAAAUGAAUAUGCAACAAUAUGUUUUAAAAAAAGAAAUGGCACCCGGGUGCAGAUGGCACACACCUUUAAGCCCAGCACUAGGAAGGCAGAGGCAGGCAGAUCUCUCAGUUUGAGGCCAGCCUGGUCUAGAGAGGGAAUUCCAGGACAGCCAGGGCUACACCAGAAAAAAAAGUUUCAAAAAAGACAAACAAGCAAACAAAAAACUAAAACAAAAAGAGGCUGGAGGGAUGGCUCAGUGGUUAAGAGCACCGACUGCUCUUCCAGAGGUCCUAAGUUUCCAGCAACCACAUGGGGGCUCACAACCAUCUGUAAUGGAGUCUGAUGCCCUCUUCUGGUGUGUCUGAAGACAGCAACAGUGUACUCACAUACAAUAAACAAACAAAUAAAACAUUUUCAUAACAUGGCAACGUGAAUUCAAACAGUGACACUAAACUUAAGUUUUGGAUGUUAAGGCUGUGGAUACAUCUCCGUUACAGAGCACUCCGCUGACAUGCUUAGGGCCUUGGGUCAUAACUCCAGAACUACAACAUUAAUAAUUAUAGUAAUAAACAUCUUCCUGGUGUGGUAGCGCACACCUUUAAUCCCACCACUCAGGAGGCAGAGGUAAGGUAAACCUCUGAGUUUGAGGCCACCCUAGUUACAAAGCAAGUUCUCGGACAACCAGGGCUACACAGAGAAGCCCUGUCUUGAAAAAAACUGAAAGAGAACGAACCCCAUUAGUACUGCAGAUAGUACAUCAGAAUAAUAAAAUAAUAAUAAUGAUAAUUUUACAGAUAAAAGAAUUUUAAUGGGCAUAAAGUCACAAAUUUAACAAACAUUUAGAAACUUGAUUUUGCUAAAAAGCACACACUCCUCUCUUGGGUCCAUGAAAAAACUUAAAGCAGAGUGGAAGCCCAGCACACCUGCCUUCAUGUUCUAUGUCCGUUUACUUUAGGCCUGCCUGACUCUGCCCACAGGGAAAUCAGAGUGUCUAAGAACCACUGACAUCCACCUAUGUCACAUCAGCCUUGAAGGCUGAAGGCACAUUCACUGGGACUUUAGUGUGUAUGCCUGUGCAUGUGCAUGUGCGUGUAUAUACCUGAAUAUUCCUAUGCCUAUGACCACUCAAAUGCCCCACUGUAUGUUUGGGCAGCAGGGCUUGCCCUCUCUUUGCUGCUCGAUGCUGUGUAUGCUAGGGAACAAGCUGGCAAACAGGCUUCUGAAAAACCACGUGUCUCUGCCCCCAUUUCUCUUUACGGAAGAACUGGGAUCACAAACACAGGCGACCGCACCCGGCUGUGCUUGGUUUCCGGAAUUUGGAACUCCGGUCUUCUCUGCUUGCAAGGCAUAUACUUGAC
ensembl:lncRNA